UAGUAGUCGCCGGUUGAACGGAUAUUAUUGAUGUUAAUAAUCAAGGAUUAUUCCACUACUAU
rnacentral:tRNA from 1 species